rnacentral:rRNA from 1 species
CCAGCAGCCGCGGUAAUACGGAGGUUAUGCAAGCGUUAUCCGGAAUGAUUGGGCGUAAAGCGUCCGCAGGUGGCAAUGUAAGUCUGCUGUCAAAGCGUCUGGCUCAACCAGAUAAAGGCAGUGGAAACUACAUAGCUAGAGUAAGGUAGGGGUAGAGGGAAUUCCUGGUGUAGCGGUGAAAUGCGUAGAGAUCAGGAAGAACACCGGUGGCGAAAGCGCUCUGCUGGACCUUAACUGACACUGAGGGACGAAAGCUAGGGGAGCGAAUGGGAUUAGAUACCCCAGUAGUC